rnacentral:lncRNA from 1 species
UGGGGCCUCGUGUAACCAAUUCGCUUUUGCUCCUCAGUCAAAACGGACGCAGAAAAUCUGACGCCCCCUUCCAUGAGGAGUAGGCAGAUUCUGGAAGGAAACCCCAAAGGGGAGGAGAUCUCGGUCAGCUAGCAGGUUCCGCGCUCACCUGGUAAGACAGCCUUCUUAGGACUACAACCAAGGAAGACUAGAUACCCCUCCUCCUGUUGGGACGCACUUUCGGGAAACACUGCCACGGCUUCCGGAAUGGAGAGCGCACGUUCGCGCGCGGGGAGAGGCGUCACUUCCGCUCUGGCCCCCGACCUGCGCAGUUGGCCUUGUGAAGGCCGUGCCCGCGGGGUUAGCGCCAACGCUCGGCGUGCGAGGGUGAAGCCCAACGCUAGGGAGGGAAGUCCAGUCAGCUUAAGCCAUGGAAGGAAUGGAGGUCGGUGGGGGCAGAAGAACUGCAGAAGGCCUGUCUGGGGAAAGCACAGGAAUUUGGGAGGAACCUAUGGGCCACUCAGAAGUAUGAACAUUCAAGAUGUUUGGAGAAGAGCUUUCCCUCCGGGGCCAGGGCAGAGCCAGAGGAUCCGGAGCUCCCCGACGCUGUCUCACUUCAGGAACAGGGAGAAGCAGAAGCAGGAAGCAUUCUGCCCACUGAUGCUUUUUACUGCCCCCAACAGAGACCUUUGUCAGCUCUUUCUCCUUCAUGGCAAGGUGGUGUCAGUCCUGAGUUUAUUUCCUAGCAGCGGCUAA